rnacentral:rRNA from 1 species
UACGUAGGGUGCAAGCGUUAAUCGGAAUUACUGGGCGUAAAGCGUGCGCAGGCGGUUCUAUAAGACAGAUGUGAAAUCCCCGGGCUCAACCUGGGAACUGCAUUUGUGACUGUAGAGCUGGAGUACGGCAGAGGGGGAUGGAAUUCCGCGUGUAGCAGUGAAAUGCGUAGAUAUGCGGAGGAACACCGAUGGCGAAGGCAUCCCUGGCCUGUACUGACGCUCAUGCACGAAAGCGUGGGGAGCAAACAGG